rnacentral:rRNA from 1 species
GGUUAAGCGACUAAGCGUACACGGUGGAUGCCCUGGCAGUCAGAGGCGAUGAAGGACGUGCUAAUCUGCGAUAAGCGCCGGUAAGGUGAUAUGAACCGUUAUAACCGGCGAUUUCCGAAUGGGGAAACCCAGUGUGACUCGUCACACUAUCAUUAACUGAAUCCAUAGGUUAAUGAGGCGAACCGGGGGAACUGAAACAUCUAAGUACCCCGAGGAAAAGAAAUCAACCGAGAUUCCCCCAGUAGCGGCGAGCGAACGGGGAGGAGCCCAGAGCCUGAAUCAGCAUAUGUGUUAGUGGAAGCGUCUGGAAAGGCGCGCGAUACAGGGUGACAGCCCCGUACACAAAAGCGCAUGUGCUGUGAGCUCGAUGAGUAGGGCGGGACACGUGGUAUCCUGUCUGAAUAUGGGGGGACCAUCCUCCAAGGCUAAAUACUCCUGACUGACCGAUAGUGAACCAGUACCGUGAGGGAAAGGCGAAAAGAACCCCGGCGAGGGGAGUGAAAAAGAACCUGAAACCGUGUACGUACAAGCAGUGGGAGCACCCUUUGGGGUGUGACUGCGUACCUUUUGUAUAAUGGGUCAGCGACUUAUAUUCUGUAGCAAGGUUAACCGAAUAGGGGAGCCGGAGGGAAACCGAGUCUUAACCGGGCGUUAAGUUGCAGGGUAUAGACCCGAAACCCGGUGAUCUAGCCAUGGGCAGGUUGAAGGUUGGGUAACACUAACUGGAGGACCGAACCGACUAAUGUUGAAAAAUUAGCGGAUGACCUGUGGCUGGGGGUGAAAGGCCAAUCAAACCGGGAGAUAGCUGGUUCUCCCCGAAAGCUAUUUAGGUAGCGCCUCGUGAAUUCAUCUCCGGGGGUAGAGCACUGUUUCGGCUAGGGGGCCAUCCCGGCUUACCAACCCGAUGCAAACUGCGAAUACCGGAGAAUGUUAUCACGGGAGACACACGGCGGGUGCUAACGUCCGUCGUGAAGAGGGAAACAACCCAGACCGCCAGCUAAGGUCCCAAAGUCAUGGUUAAGUGGGAAACGAUGUGGGAAGGCCCAGACAGCCAGGAUGUUGGCUUAGAAGCAGCCAUCAUUUAAAGAAAGCGUAAUAGCUCACUGGUCGAGUCGGCCUGCGCGGAAGAUGUAACGGGGCUAAACCAUGCACCGAAGCUGCGGCAGCGACGCUGAUGCGUUGUUGGGUAGGGGAGCGUUCUGUAAGCCUGCGAAGGUGGCCUGUGAGGGUUGCUGGAGGUAUCAGAAGUGCGAAUGCUGACAUAAGUAACGAUAAAGCGGGUGAAAAGCCCGCUCGCCGGAAGACCAAGGGUUCCUGUCCAACGUUAAUCGGGGCAGGGUGAGUCGACCCCUAAGGCGAGGCCGAAAGGCGUAGUCGAUGGGAAACGGGUUAAUAUUCCCGUACUUGGUGUUACUGCGAAGGGGGGACGGAGAAGGCUAUGUUGGCCGGGCGACGGUUGUCCCGGUUUAAGCGUGUAGGUGUGUGUUCCAGGUAAAUCCGGUUCACUUUAACACUGAGGCGUGAUGACGAGGCACUACGGUGCUGAAGCAACAAAUGCCCUGCUUCCAGGAAAAGCCUCUAAGCAUCAGGUAACAUCAAAUCGUACCCCAAACCGACACAGGUGGUCAGGUAGAGAAUACCAAGGCGCUUGAGAGAACUCGGGUGAAGGAACUAGGCAAAAUGGUGCCGUAACUUCGGGAGAAGGCACGCUGACACGUAGGUGAAGUGAUUUACUCAUGGAGCUGAAGUCAGUCGAAGAUACCAGCUGGCUGCAACUGUUUAUUAAAAACACAGCACUGUGCAAACACGAAAGUGGACGUAUACGGUGUGACGCCUGCCCGGUGCCGGAAGGUUAAUUGAUGGGGUCAGCGCAAGCGAAGCUCCUGAUCGAAGCCCCGGUAAACGGCGGCCGUAACUAUAACGGUCCUAAGGUAGCGAAAUUCCUUGUCGGGUAAGUUCCGACCUGCACGAAUGGCGUAAUGAUGGCCAGGCUGUCUCCACCCGAGACUCAGUGAAAUUGAACUCGCUGUGAAGAUGCAGUGUACCCGCGGCAAGACGGAAAGACCCCGUGAACCUUUACUAUAGCUUGACACUGAACAUUGAGCCUUGAUGUGUAGGAUAGGUGGGAGGCUUUGAAGUGUGGACGCCAGUCUGCAUGGAGCCGGCCUUGAAAUACCACCCUUUAAUGUUUGAUGUUCUAACGUGGACCCGUGAUCCGGGUUGCGGACAGUGUCUGGUGGGUAGUUUGACUGGGGCGGUCUCCUCCUAAAGAGUAACGGAGGAGCACGAAGGUUGGCUAAUCCUGGUCGGACAUCAGGAGGUUAGUGCAAUGGCAUAAGCCAGCUUGACUGCGAGCGUGACGGCGCGAGCAGGUGCGAAAGCAGGUCAUAGUGAUCCGGUGGUUCUGAAUGGAAGGGCCAUCGCUCAACGGAUAAAAGGUACUCCGGGGAUAACAGGCUGAUACCGCCCAAGAGUUCAUAUCGACGGCGGUGUUUGGCACCUCGAUGUCGGCUCAUCACAUCCUGGGGCUGAAGUAGGUCCCAAGGGUAUGGCUGUUCGCCAUUUAAAGUGGUACGCGAGCUGGGUUUAGAACGUCGUGAGACAGUUCGGUCCCUAUCUGCCGUGGGCGCUGGAGAACUGAGGGGGGCUGCUCCUAGUACGAGAGGACCGGAGUGGACGCAUCACUGGUGUUCGGGUUGUCAUGCCAAUGGCACUGCCCGGUAGCUAAAUGCGGAAGAGAUAAGUGCUGAAAGCAUCUAAGCACGAAACUUGCCCCGAGAUGAGUUCUCCCUGAGACUUAGAGUCUCCUGAAGGAACGUUGAAGACGACGACGUUGAUAGGCCGGGUGUGUAAGCGCAGCGAUGCGUUGAGCUAACCGGUACUAAUGAACCGUGAGGCUUAACCUU